rnacentral:rRNA from 1 species
GACGAACGCUGGCGGCGUGCCUAAUACAUGCAAGUAGAACGCUGAAGGAGGAGCUUGCUUCUCUGGAUGAGUUGCGAACGGGUGAGUAACGCGUAGGUAACCUGCCUGGUAGCGGGGGAUAACUAUUGGAAACGAUAGCUAAUACCGCAUAAGAGUAGAUGUUGCAUGACAUUUGCUUAAAAGGUGCAAUUGCAUCACUACCAGAUGGACCUGCGUUGUAUUAGCUAGUUGGUGGGGUAACGGCUCACCAAGGCGACGAUACAUAGCCGACCUGAGAGGGUGAUCGGCCACACUGGGACUGAGACACGGCCCAGACUCCUACGGGAGGCAGCAGUAGGGAAUCUUCGGCAAUGGACGAAAGUCUGACCGAGCAACGCCGCGUGAGUGAAGAAGGUUUUCGGAUCGUAAAGCUCUGUUGUAAGAGAAGAACGAGUGUGAGAGUGGAAAGUUCAC